GAUGAACGCUGGCGGCGUGCUUAACACAUGCAAGUCGAACGGUCAAUGCGGGGCUUGCUCUGCUGGAUCAGUGACGAACGGGUGAGUAACACGUGAGCAAUCUGUCCCUGACUGUGGGUUAAGCUCUUGAAACGUCGUCUAAUACUGGAUACGAGCUGCUGAGGCAUCUUCAGCCCCUGGAAAGAACUUCGGUUAGGGAUGAGCUCGCCGCCUAUCAGCUUGUUGGUGGGGUAAGGGAACACCAAGGCAUCGCCAGGUAGCCGGCCUGAGAGGGUGGCCAGCCACACCAGGCCUGAACUGAGGCCCAGCCUACUACGGGACGCAGCAGUGGAGAAUAUUGCACUAUGGGAGAAAGCAUGAUGUAACAAAGCCGCGCGGGGGAAGACGGCCUUGGGGUAGUAAACCAAUUUUAGCUGGGAAGAGGCGAAAGUGACGGUACCUGCAGAAAAAGCCCCGGCUAACUACGUG
rnacentral:rRNA from 1 species